ACGGGUGAGGAACGCGUGAGAACCUGCCUCAAGGUCGGGGACAACAGUUGGAAACGACUGCUAAUACCGGAUGAGCCGAAUAGGUAAAAGAUUUAUCGCCUAGAGAGGGGCUCGCGUCUGAUUAGCUAGAUGGUGAGGUAAAGGCUUACCAUGGCGACGAUCAGUAGCUGGUCUGAGAGGAUGAGCAGCCACACUGGGACUGAGACACGGCCCAGACUCCUACGGGAGGCAGCAGUGGGGAAUUUUCCGCAAUGGGCGAAAGCCUGACGGAGCAAUACCGCGUGAGGGAGGAAGGCUCUUGGGUUGUAAACCUCAAAACUUAGGGAAGAAAAAAAUGACGGUACCUAAUGUAAGCAUCGGCUAACUCCGUGCCAGCAGCCGCGGUAAUACGGAGGAUGCAAGCGUUAUCCGGAAUCAUUGGGCGUAAAGAGUCCGUANGUGGCACUUCAAGUCUGCUUUCAAAGACCGAAGCUCAACUUCGGAAAGGGAGUGGAAACUGAAGAGCUAGAGUAUAGUAGGGGUAGAGGGAAUUCCUAGUGUAGCGGUGAAAUGCGUA
rnacentral:rRNA from 1 species